CCACAAAGUGGUAAAAUGCUCGUAUACACAAUGGUACACAAUAGGCGAGUUUUGACCCUGCUAGCUAAAGAUCCACAGCCAAGAAAAUAAAACUCUGCCAUUGGUGACCACACCGUACAUUCGCCUUUGUUAUGUAACCCUCUAACGUACAGCAAAUGUACAGCAGCGGAAAAAGCCACAAUGCUGCAAGUUACAGAACCUUGUUCCAUGGCAACCACGAUGAGUGAGAUGACAGCAACAGCUCAGGGGCUCUGGCGACGACGCUUCAGUCUGCCUUGUCCUCGCCGUUUUUGGCCCACCCCCGGCUCAUGGCGGCCACCACGAUGCCGUACAUGUUGAGCCACGCUUGACGCAGGGGAGCUGUGUAGGCUUGGCCCAAAUUGCACUGCAGCAUGUAGAGAAGAGACUCCCCCACCACCUGAAACAAACAUAAGUGAACAUGCAGAUACAGCAAAACUGCGACGUGGAAUUGCUCUAAGAUAGUCGGUCCUACAGCGAACGACUGCGGGUUGACCCCCACGGCCUGAUGCUUCCUCCCCAGGUUGAGAAGAAAGUCCUCCAGUGAGUGAAGAUCGUCCAGGUGACUAACGGCUGCAUCUAUCACAAGCAUCACCUAGAAAUGUACGACCCAUAAGUGAAAAAGGCACACGUUUGACUGAAAUGAUGAUGUUGUGCCAUAGCGGGGCUCUAUAUGGACCUACAGUGCAGGCUCCACUUCCUAUUGCUAAUGUUGUGUUCUUCUUUGGCGGCAAACUAGCGUGGAUCAACAGAUCCUCUGCUAGUUACACAACAUAUUGCCUCAAAAACAUUACUCAACAAUCUAUUUCACACAAUCGAGAAGUUAUUGUUGGUCACUUAACUAAUUGAUAUGCCCAUUCCUAUGUAAAACACAAGUUUGAGGGGUGUGACUCUUACCUUGGUGACAUGCUCUAGGAACUCUGGGCUGGAGAGGCAGUCUUGUGUCGUGCCACAAUUUGUGUUGUAGUGGAAUAGAGUGAGGAGUGCUGGGUCCAGCUCGAACAGCCUAGCCAGGACACAAACUACACUGUUGUACAGGUGUGACACACGUUGAAAUCUACAAACCAAACAUAGACAAAGCUCCUAUGCAAGUGUCGGAUUUGGCGGCAAUGCAUUGUGGAUGAUUGCGGGCUGUCGCCAAGCAACUAGUCAAGCCGCCUCUGGUCCGGUGCACGGAAAUAUGUUGCUUGGAUUACAAACAAGAAGCUAACUGUUGGACUCCACUCGAUUGUUACCUGGAAAACAUGAUGAUGCCAUGUGGAACUUUGUUCUUGCCCAGGCUCUCCCAGCUGCUUAGUAUCAGCUCCUUGUCCUUUGCUGACAGCUUCUCCAUCCUCCUUUGAGGCUUUGAGUACUUCUUGAGGUGAAACACAGCUCCUCUACAGGACAAGGUGGCUCAGUUCUUGCAGAUCCAUAACAAGGGAGGAGGUCCUCAGAGGAAACUUCUGCACCUGCAAGACAAAGUGGAACAUCAAAAGAUUGCUGCAGCAAGAUGGGGGGUGCCUGAACACACACACAUACCUUCCAAAAAAGCCACUCUCUCUCCUGUUAUUAUUCAAGCCGCUGAAGGAGAAAGAAAAAUAGAGGGGUAUCGCUCCUUGGUGCUGCUGCUCCAAUCAGGCUGCGGGCUACAGCUCCUCCUGCAGAGCUUUGUGCAGACGACUGAAAUCUGGCACCUGAUGGUUGAUCUUUGGCUGGAAGCUUGGUUUCUCGUCCAGGAAACCAAGCUUUUCUCUUCUGGUCCGCUCUGCUGUGCGAGAUUUGGUUCUCUCGAAGGCUGCAGGCUUCUCUCGUUCAAUGGUACUUACGUGGACUUUCCUGCAAUGGUCCUGAUCUGCACA